GAGGGAGGAGGGAAGAGGAGGGAGAAACGAUUUAGGGAGGGGAAAGCGUCGUGCGAGAUGGGGGUUGGAGAGGCACUCAUCAAGACGAGGACUGGGUAGUGGCGUCGGCUUCUGAGGGAGAGGGAGUGAAAGACGGUUAGAAGAAACCCUAACUUCCCGUUUAUAUAUGAUGAGUAAUAUUGGGUUGAGAUGGGCCGUCUGUUGGGCCACUAUUUCACGAGGUGGGUCUUGUAGUAUGUAACACCCUAAAAAUUGAUUUUUGGGAAUUAGAGCUAAAAUGAUUUAACUAUGAUUUUUUGUGCUCAUGAAAAUAUAGGAAAAAAUAAUAUUUUUCAUUAAAUUAAAAAUUAUCAUAGGAGUUAGCAAUGUGUUUGAGCAUGCAUGCCUUGGCAUUUUAUUUAUUGUGAUGGGUGUAAUGGAACUCAAAAUUCAAAAUGAUUUAAAAGGAUUUUAAAAUGAGUUUCAAAUGGUUUUUGAAUAAAGGAAAAAAAACAAAAAAAAGGAAAAGACCUCUCCCUGCUGAUGGCCCGAAGGCCCAACCUCCUCUCUCCCCUCGGCCACUCGGCCAGUGCCCCGCGGCCCAUUCCCCAGCCCAGCCAGCCGCCCCCUCCUAUCUCCUGUCUCUUUCUCUCCGACUGACAGCCCGGCCCCAUCUCCUUGCUCUCUGACCGGUGAAAGCCCAAGUUUGGUUUUGGUAAUUAAUGACACCAAGUUGCUAAUGCCUUGUGUUUAAGUGAUUUGAGUUAGGCAUAGCAACACAUGUGAUGAAGGUGCAUGGUGGCAUGGAAAGGUGGCCACACGAUCACAAAGGGAUGAAGCAUGAAGUGGAGAUCAUGGUGAUAGACGAGGAGCAAAGUUAUCAAGGCAAAGGUAUAAACAUAGGGUUUUACUUUUGCCGGUCUAAGAUGAGUAGAGAAGUGAUUGACCGGG
rnacentral:lncRNA from 1 species